rnacentral:rRNA from 1 species
CGCGUAGGCGGUUUGACAAGUCUGAUGUGAAAUCUCUGGGCUCAACCCAGAGUCUGCAUUAGAAACUGUCGGGCUUGAGUAUGGGAGAGGUGAGUGGAAUUUCCGGUGUAGCGGUGAAAUGCGUAGAUAUCGGAAGGAACACCUGUGGCGAAAGCGGCUCACUGGACCAUAACUGACGCUGAGGCGCAAAGCUAGGGAGCAAACA